rnacentral:rRNA from 1 species
UACGAAGGGGGGCUAGCGUUGCUCGGAAUCACUGGGGCGUAAAGCGCACGUAGGCGGCUUCUUAAGUCAGGGGGUGAAAUCCUGGAGCUCAACUCCAGAACUGCCUUUGAUACUGGGAGGCUCGAGUCCGGGAGAGGUGAGUGGAACUGCGAGUGUAGAGGUGAAAUUCGUAGAUAUUCGCAAGAACACCAGUGGCGAAGGCGGCUCACUGGCCCGGUACUGACGCUGAGGUGCGAAAGCGUGGGGAGCAAACAGG